rnacentral:rRNA from 1 species
UACGAAGGGGGCUAGCGUUGCUCGGAAUCACUGGGCGUAAAGCGCACGUAGGUGGUCCGCUAAGUCGUGUGUGAAAUGCCCCGGCUCAACCGGGGAAUUGCGCACGAUACUGGCGGGCUAGAGGUCGGGAGGGGUGAGUGGAACUCCAGGUGGAGCGGUGAAAUGCGUAGAUAUCGAGAGGAACACCUACGGCGAAGGCGGGUUGCUGGGCUGAUACUGACGCUGAGGCGCGAAAGCCAGGGAGCGAACGGG